rnacentral:rRNA from 1 species
AGCUCCAAUAGCGUAUAUUAAAGUUGUUGCGGUUAAAAAGCUCGUAGUUGGAUCUCGGUUUCGGUCGGGCGGUGCACCUUGCGGUGUUUACUGUCUGACCGGACGAUUUUGUUGGUUCGUUCGUGGUUCUCUUAACCGAGUGCCACGGGUGGCCAGCACGUUUACUUUGAAAAAAUUGGAGUGCUCAAAGCAGGCGCUACAGCCUGAACAUUAGUGCAUGGAAUAAUGGAAUAGGAUCUCGGUUCUAUUUCGUUGGCUUUCGGAGUCGAGGUAAUGAUUAAUAGGAACAGACGGGGGCAUUCGUACUGCGACGUUAGAGGUGAAAUUCUUGGAUCGUCGCAAGACGAACUACUGCGAAAGCAUUUGCCAAGAAUGUUUUCA